GGAGGCGGCAGACAGACGGACGCUGCAGUUGCCGCUGAUGGCGGAGAGUGAGCCUGUCAUCGCGAGUGGCCGCUACUGUUUCUGUCAAGUUCAACCCCCCCCCCCCCCGGCCGGGUAAUCCACACAAACCACAAAUAAGUAACUCGGAUUGAGCUCCUGUUUCCAUCGCUCUCCCUGCCAACGGAAAUCCGCCGGUUAGACGAGAAGGUGUGGGCUGUUUGUCUCCGAGGGUGAGGGUGAGGGUGAGGGUGAGGGUGUCCUCAGGACCUCAUCCCCAGCAGGAGGACAUUUCACAUAAUGGAAGAGGUUUAAACUCCUGUGUGAGAGACAGACCCUGAAGCUAACGGUUGCCAGAAUGGGCAUCCCUACAGAAACUAACAUGGAAUGUCAGCAAAGGUCCUUGUCACAGUACACUGCAUAAAAGAAUUAACAGAUGAGGUAACAUCAUCAGUGAGAGUUUCUGGUGAAGUGCUGGUGGUGUGUCCUGGCUCUCUACUUAUAGGUCUUGGUUCCUUAAGCAAAUCAGGUAACAGUGCCACUACACCGCUGAUGUUGGGAACAAACUUCCAAUAGAACCCGCUGAGUCCGAAGAAUCGAAGCACCUCUUUCUUCAAGGUUGGUCGUGACAAUUCCUCGAUGGCCUUCGUCUUUGCGUUCCGUGGGGUCAACCUUCCAUGACCGAUGUUACGUCCCAAAUACGUCAUCUCUGCUUUCGUGAAUUCUGUUUUAUUUAUGUUUGUCACCAGUUUUGUUUCUCGUUCAAAGAGCUCUGCUAACUGUACCAUGUGAUCUUUCCAGGACUUACUAAAGAUCACUGCAUCAUCCAAAUAGACUGCACGGUUCGUUAACCCAGCCACAACUCUGUUCAUGAGUCUUUGGAAUGUGGCGGGCGCGUUCUUCAUUCCAAAACACAUUACGUUAAACUGAAACAGCCCAUGUGGGGUUACAAACGCAGACAUUUCUUUCACCAUCUCUGAGAUAGGUACUUGUCAGUAAUCAUGCAUUAAGUCCCAACUUGGUGAUAUAACUGGCUUGUCCGACUUUCUCAAUACAGUCCUCCAAUCUAGGAAUUGGAUAUGAGCCUGAUCUUGUAACAGCGUUGACCUUCCGAUAAUCCACACAGAAUGGUUGAGACCCAUCCGGUUUAGGAACUAAGACAAUAGGUGAACUCCACUUGCUGUGGUUUGGUUCGAUGAUGUCUUUGUUGAGCAUGGCCUCCACCUCCAUCUGAACCUGUCUGGCUUUGAGAGGAUUAAGCCAAUAGGGGUGUUGUUUUAUCGGAGCAGUAUUCCCUAUGUUUACUUUAUGUACAAAAGCAUUAGUCCUCCCCAUCUGAUAUUUGUCCUUAUAAUGCAGUAACAAAUCCUUCAACUGUGUUCUACGUGGCUGAGACAGAUAACUUACUAAUCUAUCCCACUCUACGAAGAUUUCUUCAUUAUUUAAUCUAUUUUGAAGUGCAUCAAAAUCCACAUCAUUUGGAUUGGAUUCCUCACUCUGCAGGGCAGUCACCAACACCUGUUUCUCUAGUUCUUUCUCUUUAGUAUAAUAUGGUUUCAACAUGUUCACAUGACAUACUCAAUACUUUCUUUUUCUAUCGAGCACCUUUACUAGAUAGUUCACCUGACUCAACGUUUUCUCAAUUUGAAGGGAUGUCCUAUCACAACCAGUACUAACAUGUUAUCCCCUCAGGAAAACAUCCAAGUCUCAGAGAUGUUAUUUGCCACCUGCUUCAUUCUACACUGUAGAUGCUGUUUAGCUAACUCACCUACUCUGCUUAAUCUCUCCCUCACCUCUGAUACAUAAUCUAAGUGUGAGAUCUCAGACUUUGGUCCUGUCAAUUUUUCUUUAAUUAGUUUCAAAGGGCCUCUCACUUUAUGACCGAAUAUUAACUCAAAGGGAGUGAACUGAAUAGAUUCAUUUGGGUCAUCUCUCACGGCAAACAAUAUGAAUGAGAUACCUUUAUCCCAAUCUUAAGGGUAAUCCUGACAGUAUGCUCUCAACAUGGUCUUCAAGGUCUGAUGCCAACGUUCUAAAGUUCCCUGGGAUUCAGAAUGAUAUACACUGGAUUUAAAGUACUGUCUACCUAAGCUAUCCAUAACCUCCUUAAACAGCCCAGCCUUGGUCUGACUGAAUCUCUCUGGGUAGCCCAUACCGUGUGAAGAAAGCUACUAACUCCAUUACCCUUUUGCCUUGAAACUCCGUAAUGGAAUUGCCUCCGGAAAUCUGGUAGACACAUCCAUUAUGGUUAACAAGUACUGGUUCCCACUUGUGGUUCUCGGGAGGAGACUUACACAAUCAGUUAUAACCCGCGUGAAAAGUUCUUCAAAUGUGGGAAUUGGCAACAAAGGGGCUGGUUUUAUUCCUGUCUGUGGCUUACCCACCAUUUGGUAUGUAGGGCAUGUUCAGCAAAAGUUAACCACAUCUUGUGCAUUCCAGGCCAAUUAAAAUGUUUUUGUUCCUUAGCCUGAGUCUGUUGUACCCCUAGGUGACCUCCUACAGAUAGUUCACGUGCUACCUGUAACACUUCCUCCUGUCUGUAUGCUACCGGCAACACAAUCCUGUGCACUUUGGCCCAUUUCUCCUCUGCACUAUCCUGCUGUGGUCUCCAUUUCUGUCUGAGGAUUCUAUCUUUCAGGUAAUAACCCUCCGGAAUAUUCUCUGCCUCCUUUUCAGAGUACACCUCCACAUAUAUAUUUGUUAUCGUCUUGUCUUGCUGUUGCAAGUCUCUUAGUCUUUCAGCAGUAAACACUUCUGUCUGACCCUCUGCCUGUUCGCUCUACACUUGGUUUCGUAGUAUAGGAUCUCCCUUUCUCCCAAAUUCUAUCCCUCAAGGGAUGAAAUUCUGGCCAGGAGCUUAUCUUAUACACCAGCAUGUACUCAUCUGCUAAUUCUGCUGCCCUUCUCACUUCCUGAACUUUCUGUUACUCCAUGUGAAUUCUUACCAUUUCUGGAAAUGAGUUUUUAUACUCCUCCAGCAGGAUAAUCUCUCUUAGCCUCAAAUGUCCUAACUAUUUUCACACCACAUACCCAUCUAUCAAAAUGACUAUGUUUAAUUCUUUCAUAAAUCCGACCUGGUUCCUUCGUUGUUUCUGAACCGCUGUCUAUAUGCUUCUGGUAAGCACUUAAAUUCAUGAAUGCGUUUAUUGAUAGAGUUCUGGUUAGAAUGCUAUGCCUGUAUGAAUUCUCAUGCUUGUCUUUGUUUCGCCUGUCCGAGUAUAUGUGUUGUUGUCCAGUCAAAGUGGUGAGCUUCUUUGUCUGGAUGUAUAGAAACUAGUGAUAUUGGGUGGUAUCUUUUGGUGGCCAGUUGGUGUUCAUGUAUCCUGGUGGCAAGUGUCCUGCUAGUUUGUUUGAUGUGAUGUUUUUUCCAGUUCUUGCAAGGUAUCUUGUAAAUGAUGUUAGUUUUGUUGGUGGUAUCUAAUAGAUCCUUCAGGUUCGUUAGUCGUUGAUUAAGUAUAUUGGUAAGUUUGUGGGCUACCAUGAUGCCAAGGGGUCUGAGUAGUCUGGAAGUAAUUUCUGAUAUGUCUUUGAUGUAAGGUAGUGUGGCUAUAAUUUUUGGUUGUGUUGUGUCUGCUUGUUUGGGUUUGUUUCUGAGGAAUCGGCAGAUUGUGUUUAUUGGGUACCAGUUUUUCUUGAAAAUGUUGUAUAGAUAUUUUUCUUCAACUGUAAAAAAAACACAACAUUGGACAAAUA